GUUUUUUUUUUUUUAAUAUAUUAUUCUAAAAUAACAAUAUUUUUAUUUAUAACUGUUUCUCAUUCGAAUAUAUUUUUACGUUAAAAAAUGAAACAAUAAAUGCUGACCGAUACAUUGAAACGUUAAAAAAAUUGAAAGAAAAAAUUCGUUUCAAGAGAAGAGGACAAUUACGCUCAGGAAAUGUAAAACUGCUGCAUGACAAUGCAACCCCACAUUCAGCCGGAAAAUCCAAAAGCUUGGCUGGAAAAAUACAAGUGGGAAGUAUUGGAACAUCCAUCAUAUAGUCCUGAUCUGGCACCUUCGGAUUUUUUUUUGUUUGGUCCGUUAAAAAAACACUUAGGAGGAACUCAUUUUCAAAAUGAGGAGGAGGUCAUGAACGCAGUUACCGAGUACUUCGAUGGAAAAUGUGCUGCGUAUUUCCGAGAUGGCAUUUUCAAGUUACUCCAUCGUUGGGAAAAAUGCAUCAAUUUAAAUGGCGACUAUGUAGAAAAAUAGAAAAAUAUGUCUUAUUUAUUGUGUAAAAAUUUUAAAGUAAUAAAUUGAUUUUUCAUUAUUCAGUA